rnacentral:rRNA from 1 species
GAACGGAUCCUUCGGGAUUAGUGGCGGACGGGUGAGUAACACGUGGGAACGUGCCCUUUGGUUCGGAACAACUCAGGGAAACUUGAGCUAAUACCGGAUGUGCCCUUCGGGGGAAAGAUUUAUCGCCAUUGGAGCGGCCCGCGUCUGAUUAGCUAGUUGGUGGGGUAAAGGCCCACCAAGGCGACGAUCAGUAGCUGGUCUGAGAGGAUGAUCAGCCACAUUGGGACUGAGACACGGCCCAAACUCCUACGGGAGGCAGCAGUGGGGAAUCUUGCGCAAUGGGCGAAAGCCUGACGCAGCCAUGCCGCGUGAAUGAUGAAGGUCUUAGGAUUGUAAAAUUCUUUCACCGGGGACGAUAAUGACGGUACCCGGAGAAGAAGCCCCGGCUAACUUUGUG